CUAGCACAGGGUUUCCUAAAGUAUGGGUCGUCACCCCCUGGUGGGUCGCAGGGCGAUUCCUAGUGGGUCAUGCUGACCCAUGCCUCCAGGGCCGCCGGGGACAUAAGAGACCGUCAGGCAGGCUAAUUAGUCGGGCCCUCGAUCCGUGACCGCAGGCCCAACACCAGGAGGGGGCCCAGCGUCUUGCCCUGUAUGCCGAUGGGCUCCCUCCAAUCAGUCUGCCCAGCACCUCCGGUCUGCAGCUCCUCCGGGUGCAGACCUGAAGACCGUGUGAUAGAAGUCUCGAGAGCACCCAGAGCGUUACCAUGGCAACAUGACUGCAGAGUUUAUCCACCGGACAACCAGAAAGGACACUGGACCACCAGGGAAUUUCAUAAAGGUAGGACACAGCCCCAACACCCUGAAACCCCCAUAAUGUAACCCCUUCUCUCACUGCCCCCCCUCCACAAUGUAACCCCUUCUCUCCCUGUCUCCCCCACACUGUAACCUCUCCUCUCCCUGCCCCUCCCCACAAUGUAACCCUUUCUCUCCCUGUCCUCCCCGAGACUGUAACCACUCCUCUCCCUUCCCCCCCCACACUGUAACCUCUUUUUUCCCUGUCCCCCUCCCCACACUGUAACUCCUUCUCUCUCUGCCCCCACACUGUAACCCCUUCUCACUCUGCCCCCACACUGUAAC